CUUUAAGGUCAAAGCCUACAGCAAUAACCUAUCUCAAGGGCCAAGGAUCCGGACAUCCCAGGCUGAGAGCUGUACCUUUAGUUACCAAAGAAACUCAGGAUCUCAAUAUCCAGGCCUAUUCAGGAACAGAGUGCUAGCAGGCAUUGCCUCCUCCUGCUGCUGCUGCCGCUGCCACCACCGCCGCGACCACCGCCGUGGCUUUGGCUGCAAACCACUGGCUCCGCCAGUCCAGCCUCUCUAAGUUUUGAGCAUCCAGAGGUUCAGGAUUGCCAGACUGGCUCCUUACGAGUCUUUUAACUGUGGCGUUUCUUGAUUGUAACCGGGCUGAAGCAGCUCCCCAGGAUCCCAGGAAAGGAUGCAAAGCUGAAAAGAACAAAGAAUAUCCUCUCGUUCAUGAUCUUACACUCCAGUGACAGACGACACACCUGUGGGAUGACAGAAUUCUUUCUGCAGAUGAGAGAGGACAAUGAGCAAGUGGAAACACAGGAAGACGCAAACAAGGUCUGCAGAUAAUGAACAAGGAGGAGGGAUGCCUCUGGCAGUCCUAGAAAGGAGAUGAUGCACGCCGCCUCCCAACUCUGCACUCAGUGGCUUACAGGGUAGCUUGAACCCAGUGAUGAGGGGACUAUUUACGCCACUGAGAUUAGCAAAUGUUACAUACCCCAUUUUCCUUAUUGUAUUACUGGCUGUAUAUUAAAUUUAAAAGCAUGGCAUGUCACUGUGAAUAGCAAAAACAUUAAGUUGAUCUCUGCAAUUCUUUGGAAAUUCCCCAACUCAGGAAAUGUGUUGUUUCCAUCACUGGUGAGUGAGAGACUUUUCAUCAGGUAACUCUGAAGCUGAGGAUUGCAGCUGGUGACUAUUAACUUAUGAAUCACAAAUUCACAGGUGAUGAAUAUAAUAAGCACAAGAAAAAAGGCUUCCUAAAUACAUCGUGCCUCAAACUUGAUAAAGUUUGGCGGGGAGGGGAUUAAUGAAUUGGAAUGAAAUCCCACUUGCCAAAUCACGUUGAGUCGCAACCAUAGAUCACACCUUCCUAUAACUUCAGCAAAAGACAAAGCAUUCAAUAAUGGGCUCUGUGAAACUUUUAAAAAGUCCUGGAUAGGGUUGGACCAGUGGCUCAGAGGUUAAGAGCACUGGCUGCUCUUCCAGGGGACCCAGGUUCAGUUCCCAGCACCAUGUGGCAGCUCACAACUGUCUGUAACUUCAGAUCCAAGAGACCCAAUGCCCUCUACUGUACCUGGCAAUCACAAAGCUUACAAAUGGUGCGAAGACAGACACAUGGACAAAACACUCAUGCACAUAAAGUAAAAAAUAAAUAUUUUUUAAGAA
rnacentral:lncRNA from 1 species